AAUCAGUCCAGUACUGGUACCGGUCCACAUUGUAGGGGAGAAAGACUCACCUGGUAUAAAUUGCAUUUUCAGCUAUUUGUUAGAUUUGAAAUAUCUUAUUUUCAUAUGUACUCAUUUAUCUUACUUUAAUUUGCUUUUUCUAGCAGCUGUUAACUUCUGUAACUAGGGUUUCCCAAGUCUGAAUAAAAAGAGGAGCAGCGAGAGGGGAAAUUUAGAGUGAAUUGCAAUAGACACUGUUUCAAAGUUAUAAUAAUUUAUUAAAAUAAAAACAGUAAAAUUAAAUAAUACCUCUAUGUAGAUGAGAAGAAGUUAGGAAAAACUAAGCUGAGUUGCCGAGGCUUGGCGGUAGGUGCUGACAGGUUCUGGAUCGGAGGCUCCCGAGCAAAGAAUCACCAAACACCGUGACGUCACAAACACUCGUUGGAUUUCCCUCAAUCGAUUUAUGUUGAUCACGGGACAGCCACAGCAACAGGGGGCGCCACCAUCUGGGCCAAACGCACCACCUUCAAUCCUCAGAGCUAAAAAAGAAAAAAAUACAAACUAUUAUUAAAAUACCGGUAGAAAAAUCAAAUAGAUAAAACCGUUAAAAGUCCUUUACACUCGACCACCAGCACCGCACAAUUCAGUGAACAAGCCGGUGCUGAUCGGCUCUCAAUAAGCCACAGGAUGGGCGGAACCAGCGGUAACUCCGAACAAAGCAGCAGCGAUCAUUGUGGAUAUACGGAAACUAUAGGAAAGGUUCUGAUCUGGUGGAGUGAAGAAACUGUGAAACAUGUUGCGGGAUAUAAAGUGGAAGAAAAGAUUUUACGUCUUUCAAAGAGAACUGGCACUGUAUGAGAAAUCUUUAGAUGUGAUGAUCGUAAGAUCCACAAGGUGGCGGUAAUGCAAUGACAUGAAUGAACGACAGUCAUAAAAUCCCAAAGAAGAAGAA